rnacentral:lncRNA from 1 species
GCAAAGGCAAGACAGCCCCCUACCAGUGGCCCUCGCCUGAGGCCAGCAUUGAGCUGAUGCGUGACGCCCGCAUCUGUGCCUUCCUGUGGCGCAAGAAGUGGCUAGGCCAGUGGGCCAAGCAGCUCUGUGUGAUCAGGGACACCAGGCUUUUGUGCUACAAAUCGUCCAAAGACCACAGUCCUCAGCUGGAUGUGAACCUGCUGGGCAGCAGUGUCGUGCACAAGGAGAAACAAGUGCGGAAGAAAGAGCACAAGCUCAAGAUCAUGCCAAUGAACGCCGACGUGAUCGUGCUGGGCCUGCAGAGCAAGGACCAGGCUGAGCAGUGGCUUCGGGU